UAGGGAAUAUUGGACAAUGGGCGAAAGCCUGAUCCAGCCAUGCCGCGUGAGUGAUGAAGGCCUUCGGGUUGUAAAGCUCUUUUGGCGGGGACGAUAAUGACGGUACCCGCAGAAUAAGCCCCGGCUAACUUCGUGCCAGCAGCCGCGGUAAUACGAAGGGGGCUAGCGUUGUUCGGAAUCACUGGGCGUAAAGCGCACGUAGGCGGACUUUCAAGUCAGGGGUGAAAUCCCGGGGCUCAACCUCGGAAUUGCCUUUGAUACUGUAGGUCUCGAGUCCGGAAGAGGUGGGUGGAAUUCCUAGUGUAGAGGUGAAAUUCGUAGAUAUUAGGAAGAACACCGGUGGCGAAGGCGGCCCACUGGUCCGGUACUGACGCUGAGGUGCGAAAGCGUGGGGAGCAAACAGG
rnacentral:rRNA from 1 species